CACAGUAUACUAAAACUAGAAUGACAGCAAAAGACUAGUCCUAAUCCCUGUGUAAGAUUGAUACACAUAUUCAAGAAGUACUCCAUAGUUUU
rnacentral:snRNA from 1 species